rnacentral:lncRNA from 1 species
GAGGAUAUGGUGCCCAUCAUGUAGUACAGAUGUAUUUCUCGUACUAUGUACACAUACACUGUGCUCCACACCUGGCCCAUCACAUCCAGCCCGUCAGGUCUAUGCAGUGCCCCUCAAUUUUUUGGGCUAGAGAGUAUAUGAUGCCCAUCAUGUAGUACAGAUGUACUUAUAGUACUAUGUACACAUUCAAGCUCGUAUAUUUUCACUGCACUGGAGUAGUUAAAUUAAUAAUGGCACAUUUACAAUAUCCUAGCAUUGCUAAUUAAUUAAGGCGCGCCAGUAUACUCGUACCCGUAGGAACUAUGACCAGCUGCCACCCGGAAGCAUUCAUGCAAAGAAGAUAGAAGAAGAAGACGCCAUGUCCGUGGUAAGGCUGUGCAUCGCAAGAACAAAGAAGAACAAAGGACGUGGCACCGGUUUUAUCGUGGUCAACACCGCGAACAAGCUUGUGGUCAUGACCUGUGGCCACCCGUUAAAUGAAUGGGUUAGGGGCACAAAGGUAGGCGUCAUAUUCCAUGACAUGGGAGAUGCUAGUACCGAAGCGGUGUGGGUUAAUACAGAGAAGGAGGUUGCAUUGCUUCUCAUAGAUACCUCUUCCAAUCCUGAACUCUCUGCGUAUCCUGCUGUCGAUUUCUCGUACGAUGACGUUAGAGUUGGAGAUUUUCUCCUGACGCUUGGGCAUCCGCAUGGCAUGCGGAGCUAUCACGAUGUAUGGAACAAUUUCGGCUUGGUCACCUAACUUUCUUCCAUCCUAGAACAGCUACUGUUGAUCACGUACGAAUAAUUAACACACGUGUGCGCACACAGUGCAUGCAUAUUGAUAGUAGCUAACGUGCACUACAUGAAUGUAUACUUGCAGCAAGGAGGUCGGUCCUACUACCACUGGUUUGGGCAGUAUUGUCCAAAUAUUUAAUUGGUGGUGACUUUGGCACCGAUCCGGGCACGUGCGGCUCACCAGUUUUUGCAGUAGAUGGCCGAGUGGUAUUCAUGACCAUCUCUGACGUCCAAGAUAUGACAUAUGUUCUUUCAGUGGGGUGGAUACGGUAGACACUACAGAUGUACUUCUAGUACUAUGUAUGUGUCUUGUAUAGGUUAAUUUUACUCCACACAUGACCCAUCACAUCAAGCCAAUCAGGUCGACGCAGUGCCCCCCCCCCAUUUUAUUGGGCUAGAGAGGAUAUGAUGCCCAUCAUGUAAUACAGAUGUAUUUCUAGUACUAUGUACACAUACACUGUACUCCACACAUGACCCAUCACAUCCAGCCCAUCAAGUCUAUGCAGUGCCCCUCAGUUUAUUGGGCUAGAGAGUAUAUGAUGCCCAUCAUGUAGUACAGAUGUACUUCUAGUACUAUGUACACAUACAAGCUCGUAUAUUUUCACUGCAAUGGAGUAGUUAAAUUAAUAAUGGCACAUUUUACAAUAUCGUGGGCAUUGCUAAUUAAUUAAGGCGCGCCAGUAUACUCGUACCCACAGGAGCUAUGACCAGCUGCCACCCGGAAGCAUUCAUGCAAAGAGGAUAGAAGAAGAACACGCCAUGUCCGUUGUAAGGCUGUGCAUCGCAAGAACUAAGAAGAACAAAGGACGUGGCACCGGUUUUGUCGUGGUCAACACCGCGAACAAGCUUGUGGUCAUGACCUGUGGCCACCCGUUAAAUGAAUGGGUUAGAAGCACAAAGGAAUGCAUCACAUUCCAUGACAUGGGAGAUGCUAGUGCCGAAGCGGUGUGGGUUAAUACAGAGAAGGAGGUUGCAUUGCUUCUCAUAGAUACCUCUUCUAAUCCUGAACUCUCUGCGUAUCCUGCUGUUGAUUUCUCGUACGAUGACGUUGGAGUUGGAGAUUUUCUCGUGACGCUUGGGCAUCCUUAUGGCAUGCGGGGCUCACGAUGUAUGGAAUAAUUUCGGCUUGGCCACCUAAGUUGUUUCCAUCCUAAAACAGAUACUGUUAAUCACGUACGAAUAAUCAACACACGUGCGCGCACACAGAGGCGUACAUUGCAUGCAUAUUGAUAUUUGCUAACGUGCACUACAUGAAUGUAUACUUGCAGCAAGGAGGUCGGUCGUACUGCCACUGGUUUGAGCAGUAUUGUCCAAAUAUUUAAUUAGUGGUGACUUUGGCACCGGUCUGGGCGCGUGCGGCUCACCAGUUUUUGGAGUAGAUGGCCGGGUGGUAGGCAUGAUCAUCUCUGGAGUCCAAGAUAUGACAUAUGUUUCUUUCAGUGGGGUGGAUAUGGGAGACACUACAGAUUUACUUCUAGUACUAUGUAUGUGUCUAGUAUACGUUCACUGUACUCCACACAUGGCCCAUCAUAUGAAGCCCAUCAAGUCGACGCAGUGCCCCCCAGUUUAUUGGGCGAGAGAGGAUAUGGUGCCCAUCAUGUAGUACAGAUGUAUUUCUCGUACUAUGUACACAUACACUGUACUCCACACACGGCCCAUCACAUCCAGCCCAUCAGAUCUAUACAGUGCCCCUCAAUUUUUUGGGCUAGAGAGUAUAUGAUGCCCAUCAUGUAGUACAGAUGUACUUUUAGUACUGUGUACACAUACAAGCUCGUAUAUUUUCACUGCACUGGAGUAGUAAAAUUAAUAACGGCUCAUUUACAAUAUCCUAGCAUUGCUAAUUAAUUAAGGCGCGCCAGUAUACUCGUACCCGUAGGAACUAUGACCAGCUGCCACCCGGAAGCAUUCAUGCAAAGAAGAUAGAAGAAGAAGACGCCAUGUCCGUGGUAAGGCUGUGCAUCGCAAGAACUAAGAGGAACAAAGGACGUGGCACCGGUUUUAUCGUGGUCAACACCACGAACAAGCUUGUGGUGAUAACCUGUGGCCACCCGUUAAAUGAAUGGGUUAGGGGCACAAAGGUAGGCGUCAUAUUCCAUGACAUAGGAGAUGCUAGUGUCGAAGCUGUGUGGGUUAAUAUAGAGAAGGAGGUUGCAUUGCUUCUCAUAGAUACCUCUUCCAAUCCUGAACUCUCUGCGUAUCCUGCUGUCGAUUUCUCGUACGAUGACGUUGGAGUUGGAGGUUUUCUCGUGACGCUUGGGCAUCCUCAUGGCAUGCGGGGCUAUCACGAUGUAUGGAACAAUUUCGGCUUGGUCACCUAAGUUGCUUCCAUCCUAAAACAGCUACUGUUAAUCACGUACGAAUAAUUAACACACGUGCGCGCACACAGAGGCGUACAGUGCAUGCAUAUUGAUAUUUGCUAACGUGCA